AUACGUAGGGUGCGAGCGUUGUCCGGAAUUACUGGGCGUAAAGAGCUCAUAGGUGGUUUGUCGCGUUGUCUGUGAAAUUCCGGGGCUUAACUCCGGGCGUGCAGGCGAUACGGGCAUAACUUGAGUACUGUAGGGGAGACUGGAAUUCCUGGUGUAGCGGUGAAAUGCGCAGAUAUCAGGAGGAACACCGGUGGCGAAGGGGGGUCUCUGGGCAGUAACUGACGCUGAGGAGCGAAAGCAUGGGGAGCGAACAGGAUUAGAUACCCUGGUAGUCCAUGCCGUAAACGGUGGGCGCUAGGUGUAGGGGUCUUCCACGACUUCUGUGCCGUAGCUAACGCAUUAAGCGCCCCGCCUGGGGAGUACGGCCGCAAGGCUAAAACUCAAAUGAAUUGACGGGG
rnacentral:rRNA from 1 species